rnacentral:rRNA from 1 species
UACGUAGGUGGCGAGCGUUGUCCGGAAUCACUGGGCGUAAAGCGCGCGCAGGCGGCGAUCUACGUCUGGGGUGAAAGCCCGGAGCUCAACUCCGGGACUGCCUUGGAUACGGGAUCGCUUGAGGAUCGGAGAGGCAAGGGGAAUUCCACGUGUAGCGGUGAAAUGCGUAGAGAUGUGGAGGAACACCUGUGGCGAAGGCGCCUUGCUGGCCGAUUUCUGACGCUGAGGCGCGAAAGUGUGGGGAGCGAACAGG